CAUGUCUUAAGGUUUCAAAUGUGAUGCUGAGCUAAAUUAGAACUGUCACUGCCUUGGUGGAGGCAAUACCACUGAUAAACAUCCACCUGCAUAACUUUUUCAUGCUUGGGGGAGACACCAAAUUAUAACUGCUUGUGUGGCUGCCACCUCUAAAUAUAGACAGCCUUGUGGGUUACUUUACAACCCCAACAGUAACAAUACCAGGAAAGGAUCUCUAGGGCAGCUAAUUAUAUCCACACAUGCAAAAUCCACACAUAGCCUUGCAGUCCGAUACACACAUGCACACACACACACAUGCAGAAACAGGAGGGGGCGUGUUUCCACGAUUCAGCAAGCCAGUAUGACAAGGAAGACAGAGCUAGCGGUGAAACCAGAGGACAGCAUGUGAGGCAAAAUCGGAGCAACUGAAAGCCGCACACAGCAUGCAGGGAUGGAAUGACUGGGAGGUGCAGCUGCGGUGCAACACAACAGGAGACACGUUUCAACAACAAUGUGGCUGUGUCAAAUAAACUCAGACAGUUUGAGGACAGUCUACUUGGAAAGCCAAAGCAGGUGUAAAUAUACAAGCCCAACCAACCUUUUAUUUCCUCCUUGGUCAAUGAAUGGAAGAGAAGCAGCAGUGGUGGUAGGUGGCGAAACCAAAAGAAAAGCACAUGUCUCUUUUUGUCCUCUAACUUGCUGCCUGAAAUCUUGCAUCAACUCCCACAGAUUCAGAAAAUAAGAAGAGCAAGAGACCGUGUGUGUGUGUGUGUGAGAGAGAGCAAGAGCAAGAGCAAGAGCAGAAUGACCCAAAGGAACACCAGGAAGCGAUCGUAAAAACAAAUCAGUGCACUUGUCAAUCUAGAUCCUCCAUGUAGCUGCUCUCAAGUGGAGUCGCGAUGGAGCAAACGGCAGAGCUGCUUUCUCCUUCAGCUCCCUGCAGGGCUUCUUGGCUCCUCGCCGUUCAUCAGAGAGAGAUGAAUCAACAGCUGUGAGUCUAUAUGUGAGAGGAUCAGUUUGUGUGUGUGUGCCCUCUGCAAAUGACGGUAUGUGUGUAAAAGAAGCUAAAGGAACCACGUGAUGCAGGCUUAAUCCCCCGCCCAGUGGCUCUCACACACACGCACAUGCACACACAUCCGUGUGCAAACACACACACACAUCCAAACACGUUGACCAAUCAGAAGCAGGCUGACACAAUAAUCGCCCUUCCUGCUCCACCCUUGCCUCCUCCACCUCCUCUCUCGGUCACUCUCUCCCUCUCUGCACUUUUUACACCCCCCCCUUUGCUCAUUUUCUUUGAUCAAUUCAAAGCCUAGACACUCUUCCACAUUCCACAAUCCUCGCUCUCUUUACAUCUCUUACUUACACAACCUCACAUAGCCCACAACUGUCUCCGGGCAACUAUACUUAGAGGUCGGGGAUUAUGAUGCCGUCCGGCCGCAGACCGCACAACCUUCUGCAGUUGACUGACUUACUGUAAAUUUGUUUGUUUACAAAAGACACAUAUUAGACUCGGAUGGCCCCUCAGGCGACAAAUUUGCCAAAGAUCAAUAUUUAAAUGUAAAUGAUCCUCUGUCACAUCGCAGGUCAGCAUCAAGGGUCACUCGGGGUUAAUUGAGCAUAUGUGAUGUUUAAUCAAAAUUUCCAUUCAUCUUUAAGCAAGCCACUUCUUUAUUUUGUUACACUUUUAAGACAAACUAUAAUAUCAUGCAGUUUCCUUAGGGGAUUGGCCACAUUUACUAUAUUCUCACUUUGACAUGGCUUAAUGUGCUGCAUUGUCUUAUUUUUGUCUUUUUGUUCUUGUGCAAAACAGAUUUGUUUGGGGAUUACAGAACUAACGGCUCUCAGUUUAACUGUCCACGAGGCUCUGUUUUUCUGAUAUCUUAAAAAGGAAGUAACUGCACCUUCUUCGUAUCAGUCAACUGGUUCUAAUGCCAUAAACCUGCCAGGGUGAAACAUUGCCAGUAACCUUACGCAAUCUACAACAAUGCCAAAUGUGCUUUGAAUAAAUGUCUAAAAAUGAUUUCUAAGCUCUAAAACCUGCUGUUCCAACUCAUGUUAAGCAAGAUGUUUCAGAACAUUGCGCAAUACAGAAUUUCUCAUGCAUUGUAUGGAACCAGCAGUUGUUUUUAGUACCUGCCAGUCAUGGACCAAGGCCAGCCUUUUAAUCUUAAUAUUUCCGCUUCACUGUUUUGAGUCAUAACUUUUACUUCAAAUAAAAGUGGCAGGCUUUAGCCACACC